rnacentral:lncRNA from 1 species
UAUGGAGGGAGGGGUGGAAACCGUGGAAAACUCGUCUCCGUGAUUGAGCGGGAGAGUAAGUAGUAUAGGACAUUAUCCAUUGUUAGGGAACGGUUGUAAUGGUAGUGAGAAUGUAGAAUCGUCUGUGGAGCGGACCUGGGAGUGGCAAGCAUAAGGGACGAAGACGGGGAAACAUGUCGGAUGCGAUCAUACCAGCACUAAAGCACCGGAUCCCAUCAGAACUCCGAAGUUAAGCGUGCUUGGGCGAGAGUAGUACUAGGAUGGGUGACCUCCUGGGAAGUCCUCGUGUUGCAUUCCUUUUAUAAUUAUUUUUUGCGCCUUGUGACAAACAUGUUGCACGUGCGCGAUAUAUAUUAAUCCCGUUAUAUUAUGUUUGACGUUUGCGAUAUGUUUAAGCUCGAUGCUCAUUGCUCGCGCGUCUUGGGGCGGCUUUGUGGCGCGAAGAGCGCGUUCUGAAAGGGGUGGAAAAAACUCGUGUUGCUGCGGUAUGGAGGGAGGGGUGGAAACCGUGGAAAACUCGUCUCCGUGAUUGAGCAGGAGAGUAAGUAGUAUAGGACAUUAUCCAUUGUUAGGGAACGGUUGUAAUGGUAGUGAGAAUGUAGAAUCGUCUUUGGAGCGGACCUGGAAGUGGAAAGCAUAAGGGACGAAGACGGGGAAACAUGUCGGAUGCGAUCAUACCAGCACUAAAGCACCGGAUCCCAUCAGAACUCCGAAGUUAAGCGUGCUUGGGCGAGAGUAGUACUAGGAUGGGUGACCUCCUGGGAAGUCCUCGUGUUGCAUUCCUUUUAUAAUUAUUUUUUGCGCCUUGUGACAAACAUGUCGCACGUGCGCGAUAUAUAUUAAUCCCGUUAUAUUAUGUUUGACGUUUGCGAUAUGUUUAAGCUCGAUGCUCAUUGCUCGCGCGUCUUGGGGCGGCUUUGUGGCGCGAAGAGCGCGUUCUGAAAGGGGUGGAAAAAACUCGUGUUGCUGCGGUAUGGAGGGAGGGGUGGAAACCGUGGAAAACUCGUCUCCGUGAUUGAGCGGGAGAGUAAGUAGUAUAGGACAUUAUCCAUUGUUAGGGAAUGGUUGUAAUGGUAGUGAGAAUGUAGAAUCGUCUUUGGAGCGGACCUGGGAGUGGAAAGCAUAAGGGACGAAGACGGGGAAACAUGUCGGAUGCGAUCAUACCAGCACUAAAGCACCGGAUCCCAUCAGAACUCUGAAGUUAAGCGUGCUUGGGCG